UCUUGGUUGUUUGCUGUCUCUCCUUUCUCCUCUCUCUGUCUUUUCUAAGUGGGGUGUGUUUCCUCUGGACGUUACAAACAAAACCCUGCCUUGUGUGGCCAGCCAGGAAGCCCUUGAAGUGAUGCAGAAAUGGCCUCCCCACGAAUCGGUCACCCCAGAGCCUAGGGAAUAGGUUUAGAAAACCCUGGGGUCCCCUCCACCCUUGGAAGCUGAACUGGGGCCUCAAGAAAGGCAAGGGCCCCCAAGCAAGAUGCGUCAGGAAGGCGAUGGCUCCACCCCUGAUGAAGUUAACCCAGCCCGCCAUCAGAAAGAUCGCUAGAGAAAAGGUCCCGCCCUCAGGACAGGUCUACACUGGGGCACCUCUCGGGCUCAUGAUCUAACAUUUGUGCAUUUCCCGCUGCUGCUACGCAACGUUCCACUGCAGCAGCUCAGCCCGACCCCAAAGGAGAGAGCAGGACCGUAGCAUAGAGAAUGCUAGCAACAGAUUGCGACAGACGGUUGCCUCCAGCGUGCACGCACCUCGCUCCAGGCCUCUUUUCCCCACCGUGGUGCCAAGAACACAGGACACCAGGCCUACACUCCCCGGAGGAGACUUGGUCUCUGGCAUGGCUCUGUUGCAGAAGGAGUUUAUGUGGUGCUAUUCACACAUCAGGCAGGAGCCUUGGAGAACACACAGGUAACACCUGGAGAAAAGGCUCUCGGAAUAUCGGCCAAGCCAGCCAGCACAGUCAAGUGCCUCAGGGUGGUACAUAAGGGUGGGGUGGGCACCACCCAAUUCUCUCUCAGCCAGUGGCUGUCGGGCCUGUUGUAACAUCUGACCAGCACAGCCAGGGCUGAGAGCCCAGGUUAGGGCCAAAGAGGAAAGAUAUGGAUCAACUUGUGGUUUAGAAAUACAAACACAUUAUCCUUCCUUGCUCAGAACUUGAAAAGCUUCCUAGGAACCACCAGCUUGCUAACAUCCUAUCUCUGGAUGCCUCUGCCCUCCUGACAACAGUAGUUAUCACACCUGCCAAUUACUGAGUGCUUCCUGUGGGUGGAGCCCCGGGCUUAGCUCUUUUUCACUCUGUCUGGUGGAAGCACCGUCCCAGUAUUAUUACUUUACAGGUGAUGAAACUGAGGCAUACGGUGACUGAGAAAGGACCAAUUAUUCCUGCAAUUCGAGCAAAUGUAUGGACUCUCCCCACCCACACAUACACUUAACACAUUCAUAUGUUGAGGCCUAAUCACCAAUGUGAAAAGGUUAUUAAGAGGCAGAGUCUUAGAGGUGAUUAGCAUCUGAAGGCCCCCUGCAAACUCCCCCUGUGGUUAACCCCAGCCAGCACUCAACCCAGAGAGGCAGAGACAAGUAGAUCUCUGUGAGUUCAAGGACAGCCUGGUCUGCAUACCCACUUCCGGGACAACCAGGGCUACAGAGAGAAGACCUAUCUCCAAAAAACAAAGAAACAAGCCAACACCGCCCAAGGAACUGUCCUGGCUAGCAGGGAGAUAUUCUACAGAGAAACGCUUAUGCCCCUCCCUUCCAGCAAUCAGACUAUGAGGUAGUGGACCACAAAGAAUUAUGAUUUUCUGCUUGAAUUCCUUUCUAUGGGAAGGGAUAAGCGGAAGCCCUGGUGCCAGUCAGAACUUGCCUGCCAGGGAGGGACUUCCUGCAGAUCCAACAACCUGUCUGCCCACCUAGCAGGAUGUUUCUGAGACCCAGACGGGCUACGGAUGUGCAAUACCACGCCUUGAGGAGGACUAGUUAUAAAUUCCCCUGCCCUUUAUUUAAAAACAAACCUGUCAGUGCCC